AUCAUUUUAGCUAAGUUCUAUCUCUCCCAGCUCCCUCGUCGAGAUACUUCUUUUUGUCAACUGUGACGGGCCCGCUCAAGAUGGCCGCGGAGAGAGCAGUAAAGACAGAAGCUGAAGAGGACGAUAUAGAAGCAGGAGGGUCAUUACGUAUGGAAUAAGUGAAUCUGACGAUGAGAAAAAAAGCUGCUGAAGUUUUUGGUUUAAAGCUAAUGGUACUGGUAGUUUUGCUUUUGGUAUUUGAGACGGACUUUGGGAACUAAAACUUUCUUUGAAAACCCCUCUAAACAGGAGGUGAUCUACAAUAAUGAAAGAUGAUCUAUUUCUGGCCAGAAAUUUGCGGAGUUCAAUCGUCUUGAUAUCAGUCUUGGCUGCAGUUGUAUCUCUAAAAAUCAGUGACGGUUUGAGGAGACACUGCAUCUCACUGCUCAGUGGAGACACGGGGAUAUGAAGCAGUUUUCCCUCUCAAAGUCCACUGAACGUUGUCACAGUCCGAUCAGAGUAAGCAGCAAAGAUAAAAAGAGACUUUACCUCUGAUGUCAGACAGAUAAAUUUUGACGAAAACAGACCUCGGAGGGUUUAGUAAAGUAAACAGACUGGCUAUGGUCCUAGUA